rnacentral:rRNA from 1 species
UACGAAGGGGGCUAGCGUUGCUCGGAAUCACUGGGCGUAAAGCGCACGUAGGCGGAUCUUUAAGUCAGGGGUGAAAUCCCAAGGCUCAACCUUGGAACUGCCUUUGAUACUGGGGAUCUCGAGUCCGGAAGAGGUUGGUGGAACUGCGAGUGUAGAGGUGAAAUUCGUAGAUAUUCGCAAGAACACCAGUGGCGAAGGCGGCCAACUGGUCCGGUACUGACGCUGAGGUGCGAAGCGUGGGGAGCAAACAGG